AUAAUCGCUGGACAUAGGGCAAUAACAGUCGACGAGUGUAGUUUUAAUACGAUUCGAAAGUUCUUAUACGGCAUUUGAAAGUGUUUUUUUUUAAAUUAUUUUUUUUUAUUAUCAUACAAUUUUCAAAGUACUUAUUUCAGCACUUAGAGGGUUUAUAACAAAUAUGUUUGAGCUUUUUUAUCAAUAAAAUAAAGCCGGGGUUAGGAGUACUCCGAUGAUAUCCUAAUCAGGAAUUCUCGCGCAAAUAAAAUAAUAAAAUAAUAAUAAUAAUAACGCCGCGGGUA